CGUCUAUAUACGUAUAGCAUAUCAAUAAGCGGAGGAAAAGAAACUAACUAGGAUUCCCUCAGUAACGGCGAGUGAAGCGGGAAGAGCUCAAAUUUGAAAUCUUCAAGGUUCUACCUUGACGAAUUGUAGUUUAAAGAAGUGUUUUCUGUUGGAGUUUUGGUAAAAGUUCUUUGGAAUAGGACAUCAUAGAGGGUGAGAAUCCCGUAUUUGACCAUUACUUUCCAGCGUUGUGAUACACUUUCAAAGAGUCGGAUUGUUUGGGAAUGCAGUCCAAAAUGGGUGGUAAAUUUCAUCUAAAGCUAAAUAUUGGCGAGAGACCGAUAGCGAACAAGUACCGUGAGGGAAAGAUGAAAAGAACUUUGAAAAGAGAGUUAAACAGCUACGUGAAAUUGUCAAAAGGGAAGCGUUUGACACCAGUGUUGUUUUCUCGAAAAUCAAUUAAAAAUGGCCUGAUUUUGUGUUGUAAGGGACCUUUAUCAGCGUUUCUGCACUCUUUUCUUGUCCUUUUUAAUGCACUUUUCGUUUAACAAGUCAACAUCAAUUUCUUUUGUUGUAAAAGGGUCAUUGGAAGGUGGCUUUCUUUUCGGAGAAAGUGUUUAUAGCCUUUGGCCUCUGCAAUCGGAGAGAUUGAGGUCUGCAGCGUAGAUCCUUCGGGGUUAGAUACAUUUGUGCUAAGUUAUAGCCUUUCAUAGACAACUUGUUGACUAUGAUCAGUCAUGUAGCUUACUCGCUUAUGCUAUUUUACCUACGCUUAGGAUGUUGAAGUCAUCGUAUCGCGC
rnacentral:rRNA from 1 species